GGGUGUAGAAUAAGUGGGAGCUUCGGCAAACGUGAAAUACCACUACCUUUAUCGUCUUUUUACUUAUUCAAUGAGGCGGAGCUGGGAUUAACAGUCCCACCUUUUGGCUUCAAGGUCAUUUAUUGGCCGAUCCGGGUUGA
rnacentral:rRNA from 1 species